GAUCAGUAUUUCAGCUGGUUAGAAUGCCGCCCUGUCACGGCGGAGGUCGCGGGUUCGAGUCCCGUCCGGAUCG
rnacentral:tRNA from 1 species